UACAGAGGGGGCAAGCGUUGUUCGGAAUUACUGGGCGUAAAGGGCGCGUAGGCGGCCUUCUAAGUCGAACGUGAAAUCCCUGGGCUCAACCCAGGAACUGCGUCCAAGACUGGGAGGCUUGAAUCCGGGAGAGGGAUGCGGAAUUCCAGGUGUAGCGGUGAAAUGCGUAGAUAUCUGGAGGAACACCGGUGGCGAAGGCGGCAUCCUGGACCGGUAUUGACACUGAGGCGCGAAAGCCAGGGGAGCAAACGGG
rnacentral:rRNA from 1 species